UUAGUAACGGCGAGCGAACAGGGAGUAGUCCAGCGCCGAAUUCCACGUUCUUUGUGGACGUUAGGAAAAUGUGGCGUUUAGGAGGUCGUGUGCCGUGGUUGGACUCUGCAGCAAGUCCCCCUGACCGGGGCAGUUACCCAGAGUGGGUGCGAGGCCCAUAGCUGCUAGGUCUGCUUCGGAUGCGAUCUCUUGGGAGUCGGGUUGCUUGGGAGUGCAACCCCAAUCGGGUGGUAAACUCCACCUAAGACUAAAUACGGCCGUGAGACCGAUAGCAAACAAGUACCGUGAGGGAAAGUUGCAAAGAACUUUGAAGAGAGAGUUCAAGAGUACGUGAAACUGCUCAGAGGCAAACGGGUGGGCCCUCGAAAUCCCUUGGCAGGGGGAUUCAGUUUGGAAGGACUUGGGCGACGUGUGCUUUGGUACCCUGUAUGGGGGCCGAGCGUGCUGUUGCGGUCUGGGUCCGACCUGACGCAUUUCUUCCUGCACUGGGACGCCGCAUCCGGUUGGGUAGCUGCGUGAGUCGGCCAUGUGGGCGAGCGCUGGAAGGUGGCCGGUGGUGGGGCCCUGCUCUGCCGCCGGUUGUUAGCCGGUUCGCUUGUGGCACGACACCCGACCGAGGUUAAGUAGUUCCCUUGUGGGAACUUGCCGUCUCCUUCGUCUCCUCGGAAGCGGAUGCUCCGGCAGGUGCGUCGCGUCUGUGCUGCUCUACUGUCUGUAGUGUGCUGGUGCGGCGUGUGCUCUGUUUGCUGGUUGCUACCGCGGGGGUGCUUACGGCUGGCGGCGAUAUCGUCGGUCACCCACCCGACCCGUCUUGAAACACGGACCAAGGAGUCUAACAUGUGCGCGAGUCAGUGGGUCUUGAACAGGCCCAGAGGCGCAAUGAAAGUGAAGGUCGUCGUCUUCUGGUCGUCGACCGUGUUGGGAUCUCUCGUCCUCCGUGGCGGGAAAGCACCAACGAUCCGUCCCGUUCGAUUCAUCGGAGGGGCGGAAUCGGAGCGCACACGUUGGGACCCGAAAGAUGGUGAACUAUGCCUGGGCAGGAUGAAGCCAGA
rnacentral:rRNA from 1 species